UGCAACAACAUCUUUGAAGAACGCAAUAUAUAACGAGUAUUUGGAGAAAUGCAUAUUUGCGAUUCCCCAGCAGUUUGACACCGAAUAGAAACGGAUGGACACUUCAUGAGGAUACGCUACAUUUCCACUGGUUCGACGGAGAUUGUAUGCCGCAAUCAGUAUUCGACGCUAUUGUUCAUGAAAACAAUAAACAAAAUAAUAUUGGAAAUGAUACUACAGAUAAUGCAGGGGUAUCCGAAUUAGACACAGAUGAAUCUGAAGUUGAUUCUGAUAGCUCUGAUGAAGGAGCAUCUACAGAAGAAGAAUGACAAUUUCUUUCUGAUAUGACAGGGAAUUAAUUACAUUGAUAUUUGUAUACUCAUAAUAAUUCUGCAGCUGUAUUAUUAGUAUAUAAUUUUUCUAUUUCAAUAAAUCUGAUUUUGUAAUUUUA